GACGUAGGGCGCGAGCGUUGUCCGGAUUUAUUGGGCGUAAAGAGCUCGUAGGCGGCUUGUUGCGUCGGCUGUGAAAACCCGUGGCUUAACUGCGGGCUUGCAGCUGAUACGGGCGGGCUAGAGUUCGGUAGGGGAGACUGGAAUUCCUGGUGUAGCGGUGAAAUGCGCAGAUAUCAGGAGGAACACCGGUGGCGAAGGCGGGUCUCUGGGCCGAUACUGACGCUGAGGAGCGGAAAGCGUGGGGAGCGAACAGG
rnacentral:rRNA from 1 species